rnacentral:rRNA from 1 species
CGUAAGGCGCCGAAUGAGUCAUUAAAAAUUAACAUCAUCCGAUCCCCUAGUCGGCAUAGUUUAUGGUUAAGACUACGACGGUAUCUGAUCGUCUUCGAUCCCCUAACUUUCGUUCUUGAUUAAUGAAAACAUCCUUGGCAAAUGCUUUCGCAGUAGUUAGUCUUCAAUAAAUCCAAGAAUUUCACCUCUGACAAUUGAAUACUAAUGCCCCCAACUAUCCCUAUUAAUCAUUACGUCGAUCCCUAGAAACCAACAAAAUAGAAUCAAACGUCCUAUUUCAUUAUUCCAUGCUAAUGUAUUCAAGCGUGAGCCUGCUUUAAACACUCUAAUUUUUUCAAAGUAACAGUCCUGACUCCCCACGACACCAAAUUAAUGACAUCGAGGUUCUUCAGAAGGGAGAAACCAAUAAUACCAGUACGUACCGAGGCACGACCAACAAAUUGGUCCCGAAAUUCAACUACGAGCUUUUAACUGCAACAACUUAAUAUACGCUAUUGGAGCUGGAAUUACCGCGGCUGCU